CAGCAGCCGCGGUAAUACGGAGGGUGCAAGCGUUAAUCGGAAUUACUGGGCGUAAAGCGUGCGUAGGCGGCUAAUUGAGUCGGAUGUGAAAUCCCCGAGCUUAACUUGGGAAUUGCAUUCGAUACUGGUUAGCUAGAGUGUGGGAGAGGAUGGUAGAAUUCCAGGUGUAGCGGUGAAAUGCGUAGAGAUCUGGAGGAAUACCGAUGGCGAAGGCAGCCAUCUGGCCUAACACUGACGCUGAGGUACGAAAGCAUGGGGAGCAAACAGGAUUAGAUACCCCGGUAGUCCCUGUCUCUUAUAU
rnacentral:rRNA from 1 species